ACCAGGAAGCACCAUUAACGUUAUAUUUAGUGAAAUUCUACACAAGGUUUAGUUGACCUAGGAUGGGUUUGGCUGGAAGUCUCUGCGUGGCCAGGCUCUGUACUUAGAGUAGAAAUCCAAACAACAGAAGUUAGAUGUGGACGUUGCAGCCAGUAGAUGUUGCUGUUGAACAAUGUGACAGAGAACCACCUGCCAGGAGUGGGAAUAACAGAUUGGCACUUUGAUUUUAAUAGAUAUGAGGAUAUUCAUAAAUCCUUCCUCCAGAAAUGUCAGCCUUAGAGAUUUAAGGGUGUGAUAGUAAGAUUAUGGAGAAAAAGUCCAGCAGCUGGAUGCAUGGAGCUGCUAUUGACUUAGACGGGGAUUCCAUGGCAGUGGUGUAGCAGGAUUUGAAGAAGAGAAGAAAGAGCAAAAGUUUAGGUUUUUUC
rnacentral:lncRNA from 1 species